ACACAAAGAAACGUUGAUUACCACGUGUCACGUUCUGAUUGGACAUAAAAAGGUGCACACAAGAGUCAACUCUAACAUUUUUUUUGUUCAUCGUCCAAUUAGAAUGUGACACAUGGAAAUCAACAUUU
rfam:Glycine soja cultivar W05 scaffold1296_16, whole genome shotgun sequence.